AGAGUUUGAUCCUGGCUCAGGACGAACGCUGGCGGCGUGCCUAAUACAUGCAAGUAGAACGCUGAAGGAGGAGCUUGCUUCUCUGGAUGAGUUGCGAACGGGUGAGUAACGCGUAGGUAACCUGCCUGGUAGCGGGGGAUAACUAUUGGAAACGAUAGCUAAUACCGCAUAAUAGUAGAUGUUGCAUGACAUUUGCUUAAAAGGUGCAAUUGCAUCACUACCAGAUGGACCUGCGUUGUAUUAGCUAGUUGGUGGGGUAACGGCUCACCAAGGCGACGAUACAUAGCCGACCUGAGAGGGUGAUCGGCCACACUGGGACUGAGACACGGCCCAGACUCCUACGGGAGGCAGCAGUAGGGAAUCUUCGGCAAUGGACGGAAGUCUGACCGAGCAACGCCGCGUGAGUGAAGAAGGUUUUCGGAUCGUAAAGCUCUGUUGUAAGAGAAGAACGAGUGUGAGAGUGGAAAGUUCACACUGUGACGGUAUCUUACCAGAAAGGGACGGCUAACUACGUGCCAGCAGCCGCGGUAAUACGUAGGUCCCGAGCGUUGUCCGGAUUUAUUGGGCGUAAAGCGAGCGCAGGCGGUUAGAUAAGUCUGAAGUUAAAGGCUGUGGCUUAACCAUAGUACGCUUUGGAAACUGUUUAACUUGAGUGCAAGAGGGGAGAGUGGAAUUCCAUGUGUAGCGGUGAAAUGCGUAGAUAUAUGGAGGAACACCGGUGGCGAAAGCGGCUCUCUGGCUUGUAACUGACGCUGAGGCUCGAAAGCGUGGGGAGCAAACAGGAGUAGAUACCCUGGUAGUCCACGCCGUAAACG
rnacentral:rRNA from 1 species